GACGAACGCUGGCGGCGUGCUUAACACAUGCAAGUCGAACGGAAAGGCCCUGCUUUUGUGGGGUGCUCGAGUGGCGAACGGGUGAGUAACACGUGAGUAACCUGCCCUUGACUUUGGGAUAACUUCAGGAAACUGGGGCUAAUACCUGAUAGGAGCUCCUGCUGCAUGGUGGGGGUUGGAAAGUUUCGGCGGUUGGGGAUGGACUCGCGGCUUAUCAGCUUGUUGGUGGGGUAGUGGCUUACCAAGGCUUUGACGGGUAGCCGGCCUGAGAGGGUGACCGGCCACAUUGGGACGGAGAUACGGCACAGACUCCUACGGGAGGCAGCAGUGGCGAAUAUUGCACAAUGGGCGGAAGACUGAUGCAGCAACGCCGCGUGCGGGAUGACGGCCUUCGGGUUGUAAACCGCUUUCGCCUGUGACGAAGCGUGAGUGACAGUAAUGGGUAAAGAAGCACCGGCUAACUACGUG
rnacentral:rRNA from 1 species